GGGUGGCAGAGGAGCUUCUUGGGGCUGAGCUGCUCGCUUCUUUUGGAUGCCUUCAAAACGAGGAGCUAUGACCAGUUUGGAGCAGACCUUCCUGCAAGGCUGGCUUCCCUCCAUGCAGAAAUGUGUCAAACUUGGGGUAAAGAGGUCUUUCCUGCUUACAAAAAGAAGACUGAGAACACCAGAAACCAUCUGCAUACUAUCAGUUGGCGUGCUUCAGGUUUCCCUCCUAGCAGCUUGGAACAGUGUUUGAGAGGUUCUUCUUGUCUUGGUGUCCAUUUUAUAGUGCUGUGUGCUGAAAAAGACAGGAAUUAUGCAAUGAUUAUUGCGAUAAGGAAACCCUCGUGUCGCGACCCACUGGCGUCUGGCUAAUCCGAUGGUAUUCGUCACCGCAUUGUCCGUGAUCAAUAACUAAUUAUCAAAGUGGCAUUUCUUUUCAAGAGCUCCUUGUUAAAAAAUGGCUUUUGGCUGGGAGUGGAGGAAAAAGGUCGCCACUUUGACAUGGUUGCAAGUCUUUCAAAAUCCAGUGGGCCGUCCGAUUGAAUUACUGUCCCAAACUAAUUGAUAUAAAUUUGAACAGAAGAAUGCUUGUUACUACAGAAUGUCAUAAUGAUAUCCUUGGCAAGAGCAUGUCAGUGGGAAAAAAGGAGAAAAGACCAGCAGUAGUCACAAAGCAUCUAGACAAGUUGCAGCACAAGACUAUUAAAAAAAUUAACAGGAACAAAAUUGUACACCAGUUCCUUCUUCCCAGCCAGUCUGAUCAGACAGUCAAGAAAGAAAAGCAUUAACAUUUCCUUUUGAACCUCAUCCUUUAUUUGAAAAUGGUCUUUAAAAAAACCUACUGGAAAAAAUAAUUGCAGUGUACAAAG